rnacentral:rRNA from 1 species
GUUCUGUGACUGAGUGGCGGACGGGUGAGUAACGCGUGGAUAACCUGCCUUACACAGGGGGAUAACAGUUGGAAACGACUGCUAAUACCGCAUAAGCGCACAGCACCGCAUGGUGCAGUGUGAAAAACUCCGGUGGUGUGAGAUGGAUCCGCGUCUGAUUAGCUAGUUGGCGGGGUAACGGCCCACCAAGGCGACGAUCAGUAGCCGGCCUGAGAGGGCGACCGGCCACAUUGGGACUGAGACACGGCCCAGACUCCUACGGGAGGCAGCAGUGGGGAAUAUUGCACAAUGGGGGAAACCCUGAUGCAGCGACGCCGCGUGAGCGAUGAAGUAUUUCGGUAUGUAAAGCUCUAUCAGCAGGGAAGAUAAUGACGGUACCUGACUAAGAAGCUCCGGCUAAAUACGUGCCAGCAGCCGCGGUAAUACGUAUGGAGCAAGCGUUAUCCGGAUUUACUGGGUGUAAAGGGAGCGUAGGCGGUCCUGCAAGUCUGAUGUGAAAGGCCGGGGCUCAACCCCGGGACUGCAUUGGAAACUGUAGGACUAGAGUGUCGGAGGGGUAAGUGGAAUUCCUAGUGUAGCGGUGAAAUGCGUAGAUAUUAGGAGGAACACCAGUGGCGAAGGCGGCUUA